rnacentral:rRNA from 1 species
UACAGAGGUGCCAAGCGUUAGGCGGAAUCACUGGGCUUCAAGCGCGCGUAGGCGGAUGUUUAAGUGUCUUGUGAAAUCCCACGGCUCAACCGUGGAACUGCUGGGCAUACUGGACAUCUCGAGGCACUCAGGGGCGAGCGGAACAAGUGGUGGAGCGGUGAAAUGCGUAGAUAUCACUUGGAACGCCAAUGGUGAAGACAGCUCGCUGGGGGUGUCCUGACGCUGAGGCGCGAAAGCCAGGGGAGCAAACGGG